CUUAGAAAAUUCAAUAUCUUUUCAUGAAGUAAAAUGGAACGUUAUGCGGUUUAAAGUAAACCUCACUUGAUUCGAAGUAAAAUGGUCAACUUCAUUCAAAGUAAUGACAAAACUCACCAAAUGUGAAGUAAAACCACUAUUUUCUAAACCAUAAAGUAAGCUAUUAUACCAUUUAGAGUAAGCAAACCCCAUUUAGGAUAUUCUUCAGACGCUGACUUUUCCCUCGCUCUCAUUACAACUCGCAGCUCAGCCAGUCAGUGCUGGUUAGUUAAAUUGAUAGUUAAUUAAUUAGUUAGUUAACUCAUAAGCAAAUAAUGGAGGAAACGAGGAGGUUAUUGCAACAAUUUGGACGGGGACGCUGAAGGAUGACGAUAUUACGGACGAGACUCUGUUAAUAAUUUCAGGAGCAAAUUGUCAGGUUUUCUAGGUCAUUUUAGGUCGGCUUUGGAAUGCAUUGUACAAUUUGUGAGAACUUGGUAUAUCUUUGUUUUAAGUGCAAAACUAAUUUUAAACCUUUAGUAUAACAUUAAAAAAAUUAUCUUAAGUUAAUAGGGUCCAGCGUUUACAAAUAUCCUCACUAGUGGUUCAUAAUAAGGGUAAUUUGUAAUGCAAUGUUGAAUGUGAAAUAAAAUAUAUUAUUAAAGUA